CUUUUCUGCCCUCACUUGCUUAGGGCAUUUGUCCACGUGCAGGUUGAGACCAUCCCGGCCAAGUACAUUCUCCGUAGCACUACCUGCCCAAAGAACCCCAACAACUUCGACAAGCUACAGAAGGUGUUGAAUAGGGGUAAAGGGAAGAGGGGCCGACCAAGGGGUAGCGGUAAGCGUAUAGCGGGGGUUUCAGCCAAUGUUAGGAGGAGGCUUGAAGAGGAAAUGGAUGAUGGGGUUGACGAGGAUGAAGAGAUGAUUGAUGGCGAGGAUGAUUCUGGAAGUGGCGCCGACCUAUGA
rnacentral:lncRNA from 1 species